AUGGUAUCUGAGGUCCAGGAGAGAUGACCUGCGCUGUUUUCCUCUGAGGAGAUAUCUGAAAAUUUCAUCGGAUCACAAGCAAAGACCUCCUGGGGACCUUCAAUGCAUCCCUUGACAAAUUUGUGCCUGGCCUGCUGAAACUGUACUGGUCUAAGGAGGGAGCUCUUGGUGAGGAGAUGGAAGACCUCCUGGAUAAACUUGAUGAACAGACAUCCAACACUGUGUCCAACGGGCACUGAGAGGCCUGCCCAUUUUCCUCAAGAGAAGAUGCAACAGAGGUUUUCCUGAAGUGCUUAGACACUGACAUUUUGGAACCAGUGUUGAACGGUGCAUCAGUUGCCAUCCUCACCAUCCUACAAGAUGACGAUGUUGAUACGUCUGUACGAGAACAUGCAGUUGUGUUGGAAGGGGACAUCGUGCUACAUAACAUUCCAGAUCUCUCUACUGCCCUGGCAUACCUCUUUGGCCUUCUGUAUGCCCUCAACAUUGAUUAUCCAAAGCAGAUGAGUUUUACCUUUGAAGCAAUUCAGGCCAUCUUAUUUUGGCCUGGUCGGACAAUAUGAAGGUGAAGUGGAUAAAUCAUUAUUCGAAAUGUAAAUUUUAGUCAGAUGAAUCUGUAUUGUUGAGAAUAUAUGGUGAAAA